rnacentral:rRNA from 1 species
UAAAGAAUUUCGGUCAUCGAUGGGGAUGCGUUCCAUUAGCUUGUUGGCGGGGUAACGGCCCACCAAGGCAUCGAUGGAUAGGGGUUCUGAGAGGAAGGUCCCCCACAUUGGAACUGAGACACGGUCCAAACUCCUACGGGAGGCAGCAGUGAGGAAUAUUGGUCAAUGGGCGCUAGCCUGAACCAGCCAAGUAGCGUGAAGGAUGACUGCCCUAUGGGUUGUAAACUUCUUUUAUAUGGGAAUAAAGUGCAGUAUGUAUACUGCUUUGCAUGUACCUUAUGAAUAAGGAUCGGCUAACUCCGUGCCAGCAGCCGCGGUAAUACGGAGGAUCCGAGCGUUAUCCGGAUUUAUUGGGUUUAAAGGGAGCGUAGGCGGGUUGUUAAGUCAGUUGUGAAAGUUUGCGGCUCAACCGUAAAAUUGCAGUUGAUACUGGCAUCCUUGAGUACAGUAGAGGUAGGCGGAAUUCGUGGUGUAGCGGUGAAAUGCUUAGAUAUCACGAAGAACUCCGAUUGCGAAGGCAGCCUGCUGGACUGUAACUGACGCUGAUGCUCGAAAGUGUGGGUAUCAAACAGGAUUAGAUACCCUGGUAGUCCACACAGUAAACGAUGAAUACUCGCUGUUUGCGAUAUACAGUAA